UGGGCCUAUAGCUCAGCUGGUUAGAGCGCACGCCUGAUAAGCGUGAGGUCGGUGGUUCGAGCACUUGACUCAA
rnacentral:tRNA from 1 species